CGCAGUCACACCCUAAGCCCCUCCUCGCAUCCCAAAAUGGCGGCGGCCACCUCCACUUCCUCCACCGCGCUCGCCCACCCCAAAACCCUAAACCCCGCCUCCAAAUCCGCGGCCGCCGGCUCGGUCUCCUUCCCCGCCGCCCAGCCCCCAUGCCCCCUCGCCGCCUCCGCCGGCGGCCGCCGCCGCCGCGGCGCCGUGGCCGCCAAGGUCUCGUCGCCGCAGGUGAUCGGGGCCACCAUGCCGUCGCUGGACUUCGAGACAUCCGUCUUCAAGAAGGAGAAGGUGUCUCUAGCUGGCCAUGAC
rnacentral:lncRNA from 1 species